rnacentral:lncRNA from 1 species
GUAUGGUAUGAUUCAGGUAAAGAAGAGAGGAGAGAUGGCAUAUAAAGCAGAUUGUUGAAUAUUAUUAUAUAUGAAAAUGGUUUAGGCAAAAGCAUAUUUCGAUAUUCGACCCAUUUCAAUGUUGAAUUGUCAGGCACUGAUCAUCACAAUCUUUGAAUUCAAAUUCAUCAAUUCCAUCGGAUCUCUUCUUAUUUUAGCUACUUGUUCAUCAUUGAAUUUUAUUAAAAAAGAAAAUGAUAUAUAAGCUAUUACUUUUAAAACCCAAGAAGAAUUGAAAUCCAUCAAUACCCAAGAAGAAUUGAAAUUCAAUUGGCUGAAU